rnacentral:sRNA from 1 species
AAAAAACAUUAAUGUACUUAGGGAUGACAGUCACAUAGGUUUCUAAGAGUAUACCAGAUUUCUCUCUGAAAUGAGGCUUGGGUUGUCCUCUUUCUGAUAAAUUCCCAGAUUUAACAGAAAGGCUGCCUUCUGCCAUGAGGACACAUUGAUAUAAAAGUUUGAGAGGUACUGGUGCACUUCUUCACACUAACAGACGUGUGAGGAUAUAUGACUCUAAACCACACGACAUACAGUUCCUGCCACUUAAUGUUUACUUUUCUACCUCUGCCUCUGGUUUUGGUCCCUGGAAGCUGCUGAUUCUUGGCAAAACCCCAGAGCUUGGAGUCAGAAGACUGAGUUUCAAAGUUCCAGUACCGCAUUUUUCUUGUUUUUCCUAGCCAUGAUAUCAAUCCCCCUCAGUCACUAAAUGAUUGUGACAACACCUUGUAAGUUGUUGUGUCAUUAAAUCAGAUGGUGUAUAAGAGUAUUUUAUAAAAACUGUAAAGGAGGAUGUGGCUGUAGGGGCUGAUAGCUCUCAUGAGUGUUACUGCUCUUGUUUCCCACAGUUAAAAGAAUAUUGGCAGAGAAAGAGCCUUGGUGUUCCAGCAGGAGCUAAGAGGAACAGGAAAACAAAUGGCAGUAGCCCUGAAACAGCCACUUCUGGUGGUUGCCAGUCACCUGAGGAUGUGAGUCCUGGCUGGACAGGCUCCUGGGGACAGGGGGCCCAAGGCGCAGUAGAGGGUAAUUGUUAAGAUUGUGGAUGGACUGUUGGGUACUGGUUAAGAAUUCUGGGUUUUUUAAGUUUAUUUGUAAAAAGUUAAAAGACAGUGGGUCUCUGUGGCUUUCACUGAUGUUCACUCUGGCAUCCUUAGCAUUUUUCUUUUUUAAUUUCAUAAUUGUAGGUCAUUAGCAUUCAUAUCGAGUUUGCCCUUAUGUGGUAGGAGUUCAAACACACAAAGACCCACUAUUUGCCCAAAACUAUUCUUGUUGGUUUGGAAUAGGCUACCAUGCUUUUUAAAUGUUAUUGCAGCAUGUAUAUUCAUUACAGAAUUCAGAUAAAAUUUGCUUAUGUUCUGCUAUUUUUUGAUCUAAUCUUAAUCACAGUGAGCUCUUCAUUAGCUCAAUAUGUGGUUUGCCCCCAAGUGUGCACUGUUUAUUACUUUGUAAUAUGCCACUAUGAGUACUGACAUUUAGAGUUGUUUAAAGGCUGAGAAAUGGAAACCGCCUGUUCCCCAUUUUCUGUGUACUGUGACGGGAGUAAUAAUAUAUUGGAGGAGCUUUUUAAAUCUCACAGAAGAGGAAAGUGGCCUGCUCUGGCAGGUAUAUGCAGUACACAGUGUUUCAUUUGUUCCAGUGCCAAGAAUUAGCGCUGUACUAUGGUAGUUACCUUAGGAUUUGUAUGUGCUCUGGGCUCAUGAAGAUAUGGCAUCAUGAGCUGCAGCAGUUGUACUCUUUUUCAAUGACCUAAAAAGGGAUUAUUUCUGAGGAAUGAAAGGCUCCCGUCAUUGACUGUGGAUGUGGAAAACCUUUCCUAGCUUAGAGCAUUUGUAUCUAUAAUACAUUUUAAAGUGAGAGUUCAUGUUACCUGUUUUAAUCACAUGACUUCCUGUCCCAGUACACAAAAGGGCACUGGUUGGCAUUCUUCUUAAUGUAUUUAGUAAAGAUCAGAAGAAAUCCUUUAUGAGUUUAAAUGUCCCUGGAAGAGGCAUACAGGCUCUAGUCAAGAAUGAAUUAGGGUGAAGGAAAGCCAUGUGACACCUGGAAUUCCUCUCUGUUCACGGAGCUUCUUUGAGGCUUGAAGAUUGAUUUUACCAUCUAGACCUCUCUGGCUAAUACCUAUUCUUCAACCACCUUAGUUACUCUGACACAGGAAUUUACUUCUUUUCCUUGAAUGGAAAACACUUUAAAAAAUAAUAACAAGCAUUAUUACAAACUAAUAUAUGUGAGAGUACUUAGUUGAAACAAAAAGGAGUUUUAGUAGACAGUAUUACACUAUCUUUGAAAAUCAAGGAGAAGUUUAUGCAACUUAAAAUGUUUACAAACUGCAGUACAAUCUACUGUUUGUGAAUGUCAAUGUAUUAUCAGGAAACAUGUCUAUACAAUCACAGAGUUAUAUUUCCUCACAAAUUUCUUUACAAAGAGUGAAAUAUGUUUUUGUACCUCUCGGUUUCAGUUAGGGACAUAUUUUUUGAAUAUUUAUGGUUUAAAAUGAACUUAAAGUC